rnacentral:rRNA from 1 species
GAUGAACGCUGGCGGCGUGCCUAAUACAUGCAAGUCGAGCGAACGGACGAGAAGCUUGCUUCUCUGAUGUUAGCGGCGGACGGGUGAGUAACACGUGGAUAACCUACCUAUAAGACUGGGAUAACUUCGGGAAACCGGAGCUAAUACCGGAUAAUAUUAUGAACCGCAUGGUUCAAAAGUGAAAGACGGUCUUGCUGUCACUUAUAGAUGGAUCCGCGCUGCAUUAGCUAGUUGGUAAGGUAACGGCUUACCAAGGCAACGAUGCAUAGCCGACCUGAGAGGGUGAUCGGCCACACUGGAACUGAGACACGGUCCAGACUCCUACGGGAGGCAGCAGUAAGGAAUCUUCCGCAAUGGGCGAAAGCCUGACGGAGCAACGCCGCGUGAGUGAUGAAGGUCUUCGGAUCGUAAAACUCUGUUAUUAGGGAAGAACAUAUGUGUAAGUAACUGUGCACAUCUUGACGGUACCUAAUCAGAAAGCCACGGCUAACUACGUG